GGAUAUAGCUCAAUGGUAGAGUGCAUAUGCAUGAGGUCCUGGGUUCAUUCCCCAGUACCUCCA
rnacentral:tRNA from 1 species